rnacentral:tRNA from 1 species
GGGGAAGUGCUGGAACUGGCAGACAGGCAUGACUUAGGAUCAUGUGCCGAAAGGCGUGAGGGUUCAACUCCCUUCUUCCCCA